GCACCGACAUUCACUCGACGGUGCAUCAUACCCAUCACGACGGCCGGCAUUAUCCGCAUGAGGAUUGUCCCAUCUAUGCCGCGUUCCGCGACGGCGCGGUGCAUCAGGUCGAUGAUGAAGUUUUCUGGCGCAAGGACGGCACGCCGGUAUGGGUCGAGUACACAUCCACACCGAUCCGCGAUCGUGGCGUGGUGGUCGGUGCGGUGAUCGUGUUCCGCGAUGUCA
rnacentral:misc_RNA from 1 species